CCUACGGGUGGCAGCAGUGAGGAAUAUUGGUCAAUGGACGAGAGUCUGAACCAGCCGAGUAGCGUGAAGGAUGACUGCCCUAUGGGUUGUAAACUUCUUUUAUAUGGGAAUAAUAUGUUCCACGUGUGGGAUUUUGUCUGUACCUUAUGAAUAAGGAUCGGCUAACUCCGUGCCAGCAGCCGCGGUAAUACGGAGGAUCCGAUCGUUAUCCGGGUUUAUUGGGGUUAAAGGGAGCGUAGGUGGGUUGUUAAGUCUGUUGUGAAAGUUUGCGGCUUAAACGUAAAAUUGCAUUUGAUACUGGAAGUCUUGAGUACAGUAGAGGUAGGCGGAAUAAGUGAUGUAGCGGUGAAAUGCUUAGAUAUCACGAAGAACUCCGAUAGCGAAGGCAGCUCACUAGACUGCAACUGACACUGAGGCUCGAGAGUGUGGGUAGCAAACAGGAUUAGAUACCCCAGUAGUC
rnacentral:rRNA from 1 species